GUUGCUACCAGGUAAUGCUGGGCACUCUGGUGAGACUGCCCCGGUUAACGGGGAGGAAGGUGGGGACGGACGUCAAGUCAUCAUGGCCCUUACGCCUAGGGCUACACACGUACUACAAUGGCGCAUACAAAGGGCAGCGAUACCGCGAGGUGGAGCCAAUCCCAAAAAGUGCGUCCCAGUCCGGAUUGCAGUCUGCAACUCGACUGCAUGAAGUUGGAAUCGCUAGUAAUUCGAGAUCAGCAUGCUCGGGUGAAUGCGUUCCCGGGCCUU
rnacentral:rRNA from 1 species